rnacentral:tRNA from 1 species
GCCCCCUUGGCGGAAUUGGUAGACGCGACGGAUUUAGGUUCCGUUCUCGUGAGAGGUGCCGGUUCGAGUCCGGUGGGGGGCACCA